AACGAACGCUGGCGGCAUGCCUAACACAUGCAAGUCGAACGAGACCUUCGGGUCUAGUGGCGCACGGGUGCGUAACGCGUGGGAACCUGCCCUUAGGUUCGGAAUAACUCCCCGAAAGGGGUGCUAAUACCGGAUAAUGUCUUAGGACCAAAGAUUUAUCGCCUUUGGAUGGGCCCGCGUUGGAUUAGCUAGUUGGUAGGGUAAAAGCCUACCAAGGCGACGAUCCAUAGCUGGUCUGAGAGGAUGAUCAGCCACACUGGGACUGAGACACGGCCCAGACUCCUACGGGAGGCAGCAGUGGGGAAUAUUGGACAAUGGGCGAAAGCCUGAUCCAGCAAUGCCGGGUGAGUGAUGAAGGCCUUAGGGUUGUAAAGCUCUUUUACCCGGGAUGAUAAUGACAGUACCGGGAGAAUAAGCUCCGGCUAACUCCGUG
rnacentral:rRNA from 1 species